AGAUAGCGAGGGUGGAGGACUUUAAAUACUUGGUGUCAACAGUCCAGAGCAAUGGUGAGUGCGGUAAGGAAGUGAUGAAACGGGUCCAAGCAGGUUGGAACAGGUGGAGGAAGGUGUCAGGUGUGUUAUGUGACAGAAGAGUUUCUGCUAGGAUUAAGGGCAAAGUUUAUACGACAGUGGUGAGGCCAGUCAUGAGACCAUGGCACUGAAGAGGCAACAGGAAGCAGAGCUGGAGGUGGCGCAAAUGAAGACGUUGAGGUUCUCUCUAGGAGUGAGCAGGUUGGAUAAAAUUAGAAAGGAGCUCGUCAGAGGGACGGCCAAGGUUAGAUGCUUUGGAGACAGUUUGGAGAGAGCAGACUUCGAUGGUUUGGACACGUCCAGAGGAGAGAGAGUGGCUAUAUUGGUAGAAGGAUGAUGAGGAUGGAGAUGCCAGGUCAGUGAGCUUGAGGAAGACCAAAGAGAAGACAGAUAUAUGAAGCGAGGGAAGACAUGAGAGCAGUUGGCGUUUGAGAGGAGGAUGUAAAGAAAGAGGAAGAUGAUACAUUUUAUCAGCAUAAGCGGUAUGCAAAAUGGAUGAAUGGUUGGAUUUUAGGGGAAAAUUGGUCAAUGAAUGUAGCAAAUAUUGGGGUUUUUGAUAAUGUAAAUAAACAGUAUGUGGGAUAAAAGAUGCAUAUCGACAAACUAACAUUCGCACCUGUGUCAAAUUUAGAUCCUUCAGUUAACCCAACAUGCAUGUUUUAUGAAUGUGGUAGUAAGCAUGAGUACCUGAAGAAAACCCACGCCUGACGGAGAUAACACGCAAACACUUGUUCCUGUGUGGAACUAUUUAAUAACUUCCAACCGGUAGGUGGCAGCAUUGUGUUUAAAAAAAUAACACGAAGAAGCUAUGUACGGAAAUUACGACAGCUACGUUUUCCAAGCUUGAUAAAUAAACAAAAGGAACAUAAAUUCCAUAUUUAGUUUACGGCCUAUUUUGGCUGAUUCCCGGUUAAAGAAUGCGUGUUGUGAAAUAUAUUGUGGUGUUGUCGUGAAACCUCCUGAACAAUUGUUAGCAUCGCCGUGGCUAGCAUGACUAGCUCGACAUGUUUAUUUUAGUACUGGAGCGACGGCGCACGGCAUGAUGGCAUGAAAACCUCGCACUCUUAGCAAGCAGCUACGUUUCCUUUUCGCCGUAAGGUUGAAACUUGCAAGUCUCGAGUUGAGUGUGCUGUCAGAACCGAACCCCAUUGAGAUCUGUAAGCAGUCAUCAUGGCCUGGGCUCUGAAGUUGCCGCUCUCCGACGAAGUGAUUGAGUCCGGACUGGUCCAGGACUUUGAUGCCAGCCUGUCGGGCAUCGGCCAGGAGCUUGGUGCUGGGGCAUACAGCAUGAGCGACGUACUUGCCCUGCCUAUCUUCAAACAAGAGGAGUCCAACUUGCCUCCUGACACCGACAAGAUCCUUCCCUUCCAGUAUGUUCUGUGUGCUGCUACCUCGCCAGCCGUUAAACUGCAUGAUGAAACACUCACCUACCUCAAUCAAGGGCAGUCCUAUGAAAUUAUCAUGCUUGAUAAUCGGAAAAUUGGUGAACUUCCGGAAAUCUCUGGUAAAAUGGUUAAGAGCAUCAUUCGCGUGGUGUUUCACGACCGCCGACUUCAGUACACAGAGCACCAACAGCUGGAGGGUUGGCGCUGGAACAGGCCCGGGGAUCGCAUUCUGGACCUGGAUAUCCCCAUGUCAGUUGGCAUUAUCGACCCACGGGCUAACCCUACUCAGCUUAACACUGUGGAGUUCCUAUGGGAACCGUCAAAAAGAACCUCAGUUUUUAUCCAGGUUCACUGCAUCAGCACAGAAUUUACCAUGCGUAAACACGGCGGGGAAAAAGGGGUUCCCUUUCGCAUCCAGAUCGACACGUUCAAAGAGAACGAGAGCAGCGAGUACACCGAGCACCUCCACUCCGCCUCCUGUCAGGUCAAAGUUUUCAAGCCGAAAGGUGCGGAUAGAAAGCAGAAGACUGAUAGGGAGAAGAUGGAGAAAAGGGCACCACAGGAGAAGGAGAAAUACCAGGCCUCGUAUGAAACUACAAUCCUCACAGAGUGUUCCCCCUGGCCCGAGGUCCCCUAUGUAAACAACUCUCCAUCACCGGGCUUCAACAGCACGCAGAACAGCUUCCCAGUUGCAGAAGGAAACGGAUCACCAAACCACCAGCCUGAGCCUGUGGUUCAAGUAGCUGACAAUUUGUUACCUGCAGCGACGCCACAAGAUGCACAACAGUGGCUUCUCCGAAACCGCUUCUCGCCUUUCUCUCGGCUCUUCACCAACUUCUCAGGAGCAGACCUGUUGAAGCUGACCAGGGAAGAUGUCAUACAGAUCUGUGGCCCAGCAGACGGCAUACGACUAUUCAAUGCACUAAAAGGACGGGUGGUCCGUCCGAGGUUAACUAUCUACGUGUGCCAGGAGUCGCAGCAGGCACGCGAUCAGCAGACCAAACAUGAGAACGGAGAGGCUGCAAACAGCACUUUCUUUAACGAAUAUGCAAGCGCAUUGGCCAGAGGUUCCGCCUGUGCGCUUGGGACCUGCUUUGGACAAGUCACAGGACUUGACGAGACCAGAAAAAACACUUCCGCCGCUUCUGCUGUUAAGUAACUGUACUUUUACUCCGUUACAAUGAUCUAAAUGUCGCUCGCUACUUUAUCAGUUAUUCCUUAUUUAUCAACUAUUUUGUACGCGAGAUUCGCGCUUCCGCAUCGGGCACUGUUUGCGUCAAUCCAGUUUAAGCGCUAGUGACGUUUAAGUUUAGUUCACCAAUCAAACGACACAAAGUCACAUGACCUCAUACAUCUUCUGUUGGGCUUUCCGGGCAUAGCUAUUAACACUAGAUAAGCCAGCCCGGCUGAUUGUUGUGCCUACCAUGUGCCGGCCAUGUUGGGAAGGUCGUCGUUACCAUGAAGGCAACAACGAGCUACUCUUGUUUACAUUUAGACGAGCAAAAACAUUUGUCUGUCACUGUCUGGCCAAACGUGGAUAUUUCAGCUCACUUAUAACUUGAGAAAACACCGUGCAGUAAAUUGCAGAUGUGUUGUUGUAGUCUUGACUGUGCAUACACACACAGUAUCAGAAUUUGCACAUUCACAUUUUAUUUUGUAAUUUUUUAAAAUGUUCAUGCUGUGGUAAAAAAAAAAUAAUCAGAAGCUACUCACUAUUUACUCAGUAAUUAUUUCACUGUAUACUUUUUACUCUAGUAAUUUUUUUGAAGGACUCCUUUUUACUUGAGUCACUUUAUUGUCAAGUAACAGUACUCUUACUUGAGUACAGUAUUUGGCUACUCUACCAACCUGUGGAGCGGACAUCCUCUAUUGCUACUCUUACGUUUAAGCAAGGUUUUUCUCAUCAGAUCAGCUAGUGUCGUAUUUGUUGCACUGGUCUUUUCGUUGAAGUGCUGCGGGUCGUGGCCCGAGUUGCGAUCCCAGUGGAACUGCAAAGCACACGUAACAUUGGCGACAAGAGUUGAUCUGCUAGUAAAUCUUGUAUUAAUUAGGAAACGCUGCUACAAUUAUCUAAUUAGUUUACGGAUGUUAAUGUUAAAUGUAUUAAGCGAUGGAGCGAUCUUUUAUGUCAUGACACAGAAUGAACUAACUUCAAAUUCAGAAAUGGCCAAUAAAAACAGAAAAAUAUUGUACUUAAUACUUUCCCGGAGGAUGCAUUUGGGAUUAGCCUUUCAAGUUGGUAAUAGUGAAAAAUGUAGUGAAACAGACAAUGAUUUUAGUAAUUUCUUUUCCCAGAAUGAGAGUGCAUAAAGAGGACGAUGCUAUUCAUGUGGCACAGCUUGAAGCAGGCAUCAGGUGCAGGUGGAGAUAGGCCUGGCUGAAGUUGGAGGCCAGAACAUGAGGCAAAUUUAAUGUUAAUCUUAAAUUGAUACAUCAACAUGUAUUUGAGCCUUGUAAAUAAGUUUUUCUGCGUAAAGAAUUUAUUUAUUUUUAUUUUUAUUUUUUUGCCUUAUUGUACUUUUCAGUCUUCCAGAUUCCUUCAUUUAUGUUAAAGGUCAGAGGACAAAGAUGUUAAAAAUGUUCUUGAUAACUCUUGAACCACUUUACAAAUCACAUCUGCCAUUUCGAGGUGAUUAUAUAGCAGAUAUACAGCAGUUAAAUUGAUAAAUAUGAUUCAGAAUGCGCCUUCUGCUUUUUGCAUCUAGCGCCUUACGGUCUUCGUCUCUUUCCGGCGCUGUGAUGUAACACUAGCCAAACAACCUGAUCAUUCGGCGGUGUGUGCUAUUGUUCCAUGCUGUUGUUCCCAUCCAUGUAUAGUUGUUGUCGUAUCAAUCAGCGAUUUAAUGAUGGUUUAUUGUGUGGAAUUUGGUUGUACAAAUGGUUCAGGCAGGGACAAGAGUUUCUUUGGGUUUCCAAGUGAAAAAUGAAUAUGUGACCAGUGGAUAAGGAAAGUCAAUCGACGGGAAGAAAUGUGGUCACGUAUGGGUGCCUAGCAAGCAUUCCAAACUCUGUGAUGAUCACUUCGAACCGGUGUGUUUUGAGAAACAUUUUGCAGAAAGCAUUGGAUACACAGGUGUAGUUAGGCAGAGGCUGAAACCAGCUGUGGUGCCAACUAUUUUUCCUAUGGCCAUCGCGAACCUCAACCGCCAACAGGAGAACAAAAUCUUGCAGCGGCGAAGUGGCCCAGACAAGAGGUGAGAAUUUCCUUGUAUAUACACCUAUGACUCUUUUAUGGUUAUUAUGCACUGGGCGGUGGGGGAAAAAAAAGACCCACACAGUACUUUUCAGUACUGCCGUCUGUACAUUUGCCUAUAGGACAACCCAACAGACACGGCAAAGACUUUCUGUGCGGCGUGUUGUAAAGCUACUCGAGCGAGUGGCACACAAUGUAUAGGAAUACUGCAUACUAUGUAAAAGCUUGUACCGUGUCACUAAAACAUAUGAAUAUAUAAUACGUAUAGUUGUGCUCAAAAUAUUGGCACCCCUGGGGUGCCAUUAUUUCUAGUCAUGACUGAAAAUACAUGCUUUUUUUCCCCUCAACUAUCUGACCCAAUGAGCAUGCCUGUUAUAUUUUAUUGUAACAAAAGAAUCCCCCUCUCACUAUUCUGGCAUUUAGUGAAUAGACAUAAUUUUGGUAAUCCUAAAACAGGAAAAGUUAAGUCUGAUUUCAUGUCAGACAGUCAACAAAAAAAUUCUACCACAGUCCAAUCGCAACUGUGUGUGUAUCCAGGCUACGGUUGGCAAUAAGCCAGUCAGUACUCAAACAUCAUGGGUGAGUUGGAAUAUACCGUAAUAUACUGUAUUUAUCAAGUGCUUUGAUCAUUACCUCAAAUCAUCGCAAUCAUUACCUCCUCACUCACACAAGGUUUUCACAUUUUCAGUAUAAGCAAUAAUAUGGGACCCAAGUCACAUCGACUGAGCCAGAGGCAUAAAAAAAGUUCCAUGUGAGCUGGAUGAUUCCAUAUUAGACAGAAAUGUCGAAGAAGACGACUAGUCUCCUAGUGAUGAGGAUCAAUCUGAUGAUGAUGAUGAUGAUGACGACAUUGAAGAAGAAUGGAUUUCCUUGGAGAAGGAGUCCAUCGUUGAUGGAAACCCUAUUCGAAUUUGUUUUUGAAUCGUGCCUACGAGCACUCCUGGCAAUCUGUGCUGUCUGUUCCAGCCCAUGCUUGGUGGCUAUUAAAAAUAUGAGAGGAAGCCUUGCCGUGUUCAGAGCAACAUGCAGACAUGGUCACAUCCAAGAAUGGUACAGCCAACCAAUGUCAGGUUGUAUGCCUCCAGGUUAUUUGCUGGGUGCCAGUGCCAUCCUUUUUAGUGGCUGCAGUCCAAUGAAAGCGAUAAAUAUGCUCAAAAAUGUGAACAUAAUGACUUUUUCAAAGAGGACAUUCUGUCGUAUUCAGAAUGCUUACCUGCUUCCAACCGUCAACCUAGUUUGGGAAAGUCAACAGUCUUCCCUUCUGGAGGGAGUUCAGGGAAAACAGCUAACAGUUGGUGGUGAUGCAUGAUGCUGCUCUCCUGAGGACACGGCCAAAUAUGGUUCAUACACUGUUAUGAACCUUGAAGACUCACAGAUCUUGGACGCCCACUUGGUUACAGAGGUAAAGAACUCCCAUGCCAUGGAGUUGGAGGGCUUGAAGAAGUGCCAUGCCUUGUUACAGAGGAAAGGUGUCAUCAUGAAAAAGAGUGUGACAGACCGCCACUCUCAAAUUAAGACAUUUCUGAGGGAAACCCAUAAGGACCUUUGCCACUGGUUUGACUUUUGGCAUGUCGCAAAAAGUAGUCUUACCUCUGCGUUUGUCACUUUUGUUACUGUCCAUGCAAGUUUCAUUUUUUUAUAUUGAAGGACUAAUAAGACAAAGGUGUUUGAUGCACUGGACUAAUGAUUUCCUUUUCAGGAAUCAAGAAGGAGCUGAUGGCCCUUUCAAAAAAGGCUGGUUGCGAGGCGGUGUUGAAAUGGUCGCAGUCCAUCACCAAUCACAUAUAUAGAUUAGCAGCAUCAAGCAAAGGGAACAGUGAGGAAUGUCGGCAGAAGUGGAUGUCAAUCGCCAACAAUGUCUUGAAUGUUCACAAGGGCCAUGCUAAAGUAUUUCCAGAAUGUCUGCAUGAUGAACGGUUAGAGUAAAGAGAAUGGCUCAUAAAAGGGAAAGUGAAUCAAAUAAGCUUAUUGAAAGAUGAUUCUGAGUACUUCUCUUAAUUCUGUCCAUUGAUGUGUUCCAGGAUCAAAAGCACAUAAGGAACUGCUCAUAAUAGUAAAUAAUAUGCUGCUCAAAGACAUUGGCAUCUUAUUGCCUAUUCAACAAACAUCAAGCCUUGAAGCCUACCAUAAAGUAGUGCUGUAUUUUGCUCCAAAGGCCUCCCAUUUCUCACACAAGACAAUGAAAGCAAGGUUGCUUCUGUCAGCUUUAAAUUUCAAUGCAAACUGCAAAAGACGGCAAGCGCGAAGGAAGGAUGGGGAGCCACAGUGGAGCAUCUCUUACCCAAAAGGGAAGGAUGGUAAGCCAGUGGCAAAGGAGAUCAAGACUGUCCAGACGCUGCUGGAUAAAGUAAUGCAAAGGAGACAGAAAUUUCCAACCUUGGAGGUAGCUGGGGUAGAUGCAAGCGAGAUAUCUGUGCCACGAAAUGUUGAGAAAUAUGACGGGAUUGACGAGAUGCAGGUGGUAUGUGGGGAAAAAAAGAACGCACCAGGUUCAACAAAGUUCUGAUUUAAUUAGACUUAUCCACAAUAAUUGUCGUGUUCACUCUCCCACUGAGCACGUAUUCUACUAAGGAUCCCAAGGAUGGGAUAGAUGCAUCGUGUGAAUCGUCUGUAUGCAAUGUACCUGUAUGCAAUGUACCUGUAGAACCUGAAUGUUUAAAAAAAGAAUAAAGAAAAACAAGUCACUGAAA